GAGGCACCUCGUUCGGUGAGGCGUCUUCACGGACACAGGCCACUGACCCCACGACGUCGAGAGACGCCCAGGGUCAGGACAGGUCUCCCCGACCUAAGGGGUGACCCCAAGUGGCUUCCCUCGCAAGGGGAUUACGCCGUGGAGUGCCAAAGCUCUGACGAGUUGGGGUGAGCC
rnacentral:sRNA from 2 species